rnacentral:rRNA from 1 species
ACAGAGAUGGCUAGCGUUGUUCGGAUUCAUUGGGUGUAAAGGGUGCGUAGGCGGUCCAGAAAGUCAGAUGUGAAAACCCACAGCUUAACUGUGUAAUUUCAUUUGACACUUCUAGGCUUGAGUGUGGGGGAGGUGUAUCGAUUUGCCGGUGUAAGGGUGAAUUGUGUACUGCUGAGGACAAUACCCUGGGGAUGGGUGACGCUGCUAGUACAUCUCUCAUUCAAGGCGCUAGUGGGCCUAGGCAUCAUACGG